rnacentral:rRNA from 1 species
AGUGAACGCUGGCGGUAGGCCUAACACAUGCAAGUCGAACGGCAGCACAGUAAGAGCUUGCUCUUACGGGUGGCGAGUGGCGGACGGGUGAGGAAUACAUCGGAAUCUACUUUUUCGUGGGGGAUAACGUAGGGAAACUUACGCUAAUACCGCAUACGACCUACGGGUGAAAGCAGGGGAUCUUCGGACCUUGCGCGAUUGAAUGAGCCGAUGUCGGAUUAGCUAGUUGGCGGGGUAAAGGCCCACCAAGGCGACGAUCCGUAGCUGGGCUGAGAGGAUGAUCAGCCACACUGGAAAUGAGACACGGUCCAGACUCCUACGGGAGGCAGCAGGGGGGAAUAUUGGACAAUGGGCGCAAGCCUGAUCCAGCCAUACCGCGUGGGUGAAGAAGGCCUUCGGGUUGGAAAGCCCUUUUGGUGGGAAAGAAAAGCAGCAGGUUAAUACCCCGCUGUUCUGACGGUACCCAAAGAAUAAGCACCGGCUAACUUCGUG